rnacentral:rRNA from 1 species
GUGCCAGCCGCCGCGGUAAUACGUAGGCAGCGAGCGUUGUUCGGAGUUACUGGGCGUAAAGGGUGUGUAGGCGGUUCUUUAAGUUUGGUGUGAAAUCUCCCGGCUUAACCGGGAGGGUGCGCCGAAUACUGAGGAACUAGAGUGCGGGAGAGGAGAGUGGAAUUCCUGGUGUAGCGGUGAAAUGCGUAGAUAUCAGGAGGAACACCGGUGGUGUAGGCGGCUCUCUGGACCGUAACUGACGCUGAGACACGAAAGCGUGGGUAGCAAACAGGAUUAGAAACCCGCGUAGUCC